rnacentral:rRNA from 1 species
UUCCGGUUGAUCCUGCCGGAGGUUACUGCUAUCGAGGUUCGACUAAGCCAUGCGAGUCGAAUGUAGCAAUACAUGGCGUACUGCUCAGUAACACGUGGACAACCUACCCUCCGGACGGGUAUAAACCCGGGAAACUGGGUAUAAUCCCCGAUAGAUCUCGGCUGCUGGAAUGCAUCGAGCUCGAAAGCUCCGGCGCCGGGGGAUGGGUCUGCGGCCUAUCAGGUAGUAGUGGGUGUAGCGUACCUACUAGCCUACGACGGGUACGGGUUGUGAGAGCAAGAGCCCGGAGAUGGAUUCUGAGACACGAAUCCAGGCCCUACGGGGUGCAGCAGGCGCGAAAACUUUACAAUGCCGGCAACGGCGAUAAGGGGACCUCGAGUGCCAGGUUACAAAUCUGGCUGUCGCGAUGCCUAAAAAGCAUUACAUAGCAAGGGCCGGGCAAGACCGGUGCCAGCCGCCGCGGUAACACCGGCGGCUCGAGUGGUAACCGUUAUUAUUGGGUCUAAAGGGUCUGUAGCCGGCCGGAUAAGUCUCUUGGGAAAUCCAGCAGCUCAACUGUUGGGCUUUCAGGAGAUACUGUUCGGCUCGAGGCCGGGAGAGGUGAGAGGUACUUCAGGGGUAGGGGUGAAAUCUUGUAAUCCUUGAAGGACCACCAGUGGCGAAGGCGUCUCACCAGAACGGACCUGACGGCAAGGGACGAAAGCUAGGGGCACGAACCGGAUUAGAUACCCGGGUAGUCCUAGCCGUAAACGAUACUCGCUAGGUGUCGGCCACGGUGCGACCGUUGUCGGUGCCGUAGGGAAGCCGUGAAGCGAGCCACCUGGGAAGUACGGCCGCAAGGCUGAAACUUAAAGGAAUUGGCGGGGGAGCACCACAACGGGUGGAGCUGCGGUUAAUUGGAGUCAACGCCGGG